AUGGAUGUAUUUAUACCAGUGAGUGAAAUUUGGGAAACAUUGUUCUGAUCAAGUCACCUGUCUGGUUAAAAUUCUUCAAUGACUUACCCAUGUUUUUUAGGAUAAAUUUCAAAUUCAUUAAUAGCAUGCAAAGCUCUGUUACCACUGCUCCCAAAUUAGCUAUACCCCUGAGAGUCCAAUUAUUAGAACUUCAUCAUCCAGCAGUUCAAGUCAGGCGGGAGGGACACACAGAUCCCUAUGUGUUCGUGCACAUGUGUGUGUGCAUUCACAUACACCUGUUUAGAAGAGUUACACCACCAUCCACAUACCAGAAUGUAAACUGUGACCCAAAUAUCUGAAAGGAGGAGCAUUCUGUUCAAAAUGUAGAAUUUUAAACAUAAUAAUUCAUGAUUUCAGCUACAUAAAUCAAAAUCCUGUCUAUACAGUGUUUUGGAACAUUGCAAAAUUUCCUAUUAAACUUUCAACUAUACAGUAGGGUGCCAUCUUGUUGACAGAUAUGCCACUUCAACAUCAUUGUUGUGCUCUACUCAAUU
rnacentral:lncRNA from 1 species